GAUGAACGCUGGCGGCGUGCCUAAUACAUGCAAGUCGAGCGAACAGACGAGGAGCUUGCUCCUCUGACGUUAGCGGCGGACGGGUGAGUAACACGUGGAUAACCUACCUAUAAGACUGGGAUAACUUCGGGAAACUGGAGCUAAUACCGGAUAAUAUAUUGAACCGCAUGGUUCAAUAGUGAAAGACGGUUUUGCUGUCACUUAUAGAUGGAUCCGCGCCGCAUUAGCUAGUUGGUAAGGUAACGGCUUACCAAGGCAACGAUGCGUAGCCGACCUGAGAGGGUGAUCGGCCACACUGGAACUGAGACACGGUCCAGACUCCUACGGGAGGCAGCAGUAGGGAAUCUUCCGCAAUGGGCGAAAGCUUGACGGAGCAACGCCGCGUGAGUGAUGAAGGUCUUCGGAUCGUAAAACUCUGUUAUUAGGGAAGAACAAAUGUGUAAGUAACUAUGCACGUCUUGACGGUACCUAAUCAGAAAGCCACGGCUAACUACGUG
rnacentral:rRNA from 1 species